UUGCUUUAGGCCUUUUUCUUAUGAUAAAUGCUGAAAUCACUUCAGUACCGGGAAUGUGCUCUCAUUUUUAUCAUUAACAAGCAGCUAAAAAGAGUUAUAAUGGAUGCUUUUUCUCAAUACUUAUAAUGACGAACAACGUGCAUAAGCUAAUACAUAAAUGUGAAAGCAAAUAUUGUCUGGUCAUUUUUCACAGAGCUGUUCAUCCCAGAGCUGGUAGUUGUUUUGGAGGAGCUGUUGCUCACUGCAGAGGGCAGUUUGUAGAUGGCAGGGAACGGUGCUAGUUCAUAACUCCACUCCCAGAAGCCUUCAACUCCAGCCAUUUCAGUGAGGACUGAGGUCUAUGUGUCAGCACAGAGAAAGAACAAGGCUGGGCUUCCUUGUGACAGCUGGGACUGUCUGUGUUUCAAGCUCUCCUGGGUGCCCUUUGCAGUGCAAGUGCUUUGAGUUUAUUGGGAUACUUCAAAACUUCUGAAGUUUUGAACAUUUGGAAGGAUUCUGGCUCUUUGAAGAACAGGCUUCAAACUGCCAAGUGAAAGUCUGCCUCCAGGCCAUCUUUGACAGUCCCUGGUAGAAGGACAGUUACUUCCAAAGGGAAAAAUGCACAGAGGCCAAUAUUGACCCAGCAUUCCCUUUGCUUCCCAGACAUCCACCUGAUCUACCUUGCAAGGAGGGCUGCCCUGUGGGAAGAAGGAUCACAGGGAGAGCCUGUGACCAUUGGGCAGGGUCCGAGCUGGAGCCGGGCCGGGCGGAGCAGCAGCUCCAGCCCGGGUGUCCCUGGAGCGGUGGGAGCUGCCGCUGGCCCCAGGCCCUGUCCCCUGAGGAGCUGCUGAAGGACGGUGAGAGCGAGGGGGCCGAGGGGGCGGUGACGCUGAAGGGACGGUGACCCUGAGGUGCUGCUGGGGCUGAGGGGUGUGGGGCAGCCGAGGGCGAUGGUGGCACUGAGGUGACAGGGAAGUGGCACAGGCGGAGGGCGUGGCGGGUCUAAGAGAUCUAGGAGACAGAGAUCACUCAGCCCCGAGGUUCAUGUGGCACAGACAGCAUUCAUUUCCCAGG
rnacentral:lncRNA from 1 species